GACGAACGCUGGCGGCGUGCUUAACACAUGCAAGUCGAACGGAAAGACCCUGCUUUUGUGGGGUGCUCGAGUGGCGAACGGGUGAGUAACACGUGAGUAACCUGCCCUUGACUUUGGGAUAACUUCAGGAAACUGGGGCUAAUACCGGAUAGGAGCUCCUGCUGCAUGGUGGGGGUUGGAAAGUUUCGGCGGUUGGGGAUGGACUCGCGGCUUAUCAGCUUGUUGGUGGGGUAGUGGCUUACCAAGGCUGUGACGGGUAGCCGGCCUGAGAGGGUGACCGGCCACAUUGGGACUGAGAUACGGCGCAGACUCCUACGGGAGGCAGCAGUGGGGAAUAUUGCACAAUGGGCGGAAGCCUGAUGCAGCAACGCCGCGUGCGGGAUGACGGCCUUCGGGUUGUAAACCGCUUUCGCCUGUGACGAAGCGUGAGUGACGGUAAUGGGUAAAGAAGCACCGGCUAACUACGUG
rnacentral:rRNA from 1 species